CGUGACAUCACAUCCAGAUGUUUGAUAUCAGAAAAUUUGUCAGGAUCUAAAACAUCAGCAAGUAAACGUCAGGUUUUGCCGUCAG